UACGUAGGGUGCAAGCGUUAAUCGGAAUUACUGGGCGUAAAGCGUGCGCAGGCGGUGGCUCAAGCCAGGCGUGAAAUCCCCGGGCUUAACCUGGGAAUGGCGUUUGGGACUGGGUCGCUAGAGUGUGGCAGAGGGAGGUGGAAUUCCACGUGUAGCAGUGAAAUGCGUAGAGAUCGGGAGGAACGUCUGUGGCGAAGGCGGCCAUCUGGACCAGCACUGACACUGAGGCACGAAAGCGUGGGGAGCAAACAGG
rnacentral:rRNA from 1 species